rnacentral:rRNA from 1 species
UUCGGGUUGUAAACCUCUUUUAGUAGGGAAGAAGCGACUGGGUUUUCCUGGGAGUGACGGUACCUGCAGAAAAAGCACCGGCUAACUACGUGCCAGCAGCCGCGGUAAUACGUAGGGUGCAAGCGUUGUCCGGAAUUAUUGGGCGUAAAGAGCUCGUAGGCGGUUUGUCGCGUCUGCUGUGAAAACCCGAGGCUCAACCUCGGGCCUGCAGUGGGUACGGGCAGACUAGAGUGCGGUAGGGGAGAUUGGAAUUCCUGGUGUAGCGGUGGAAUGCGCAGAUAUCAGGAGGAACACCAAUGGCGAAGGCAGAUCUCUGGGCCGUAACUGACGCUGAGGAGCGAAAGCAUGGGGAGCGAACAGGAUUAGAUACCCUGGUAGUCCAUGCCGUAAACGUUGGGAACUAGAUGUGGGGACCAUUCCACGGUCUCCGUGUCGCAGCUAACGCAUUAAGUUCCCCGCCUGGGGAGUACGGCCGCAAGGCUAAAACUCAAAGGAAUUGACGGGGGCCGCACAAGCGGCGGAGCAUGCGGAUUAAUUCGAUGCAACGCGAAGACCCUUACCAAGGCUUGACAUAUACCGGAAACGGCUGGAAACAGUCGCCCCGCAAGGUCGGUAUACAGGUGGUGCAUGGUUGUCGUCAGCUCGUGUCGUGAGAUGUUGGGUUAAGUCCCGCAACGAGCGCAACCCUCGUCCUAUGUUGCCAGCACGUAAUGGUGGGAACUCAUGGGAUACUGCCGGGGUCAACUCGGAGGAAGGUGGGGAUGACGUCAAAUCAUCAUGCCCCUUAUGUCUUGGGCUUCACGCAUGCUACAAUGGCCGGUACAAAGGGCUUCGAUACCGCACCCCCGGAGCGAAUCCCAAAAAGCCGGUCUCAGUUCGGAUUGAGGUCUGCAACUCGACCUCAUGAAGUCGGAGUCGCUAGUAAUCGCAGAUCAGCAACGCUGCGGUGAAUACGUUCCCGGGCCUUGUACACACCGC